rnacentral:misc_RNA from 1 species
CAAUGGAUGUUCACUGCUAGCCUACACCAGGACCAGGUACCCAAAAGGGGGGAAAUAUCAAUCAUUAACAUUCUACUGAAAAACAUAAUGCAAAAAGGUAGAACACUAAAUGAGGCAACCUUUCAGACCAGUACCCAAUUACUCACACAAAGUCACAACGAUAUAUCACAACAGUAAACAGUUUUAAUCUCUUUCUUUCCUGUAGCCAAAAAUAACAGGCCUCCCUUGUAGAAUCUUGUACAUUUUUGUUUAUGAAACCACAAUGGGAUAUACCAUAAAAACUGAUGGA